UUUUAUUCAACAUUUUUACAACAAAAGGUUAAGCGUGUACAAUCCCAGAAAAUACAAGCUGUUUCUUCUUGAUACAAUUACACAUUCAUAAAAAAGGAACAAAACUCCACAGGGAAGUUAUAAAAUACUUCUUUAAUAUCUUCAGAACAGAAGACAGUAGUCUAAUCAUAACUUCUGGGGAAGAGUCAUGGUAAACUCUUUUUAAAACUAUAUAGCCUAUAGAUUCAGGAGGAUAAAGGCCAUGUUAUGAUGGUUUGCAGCUUGAAGCUGCGGUUGCUAAAUCAAGUCUAACUCAGCACAUCUAUCAUUAGGCCAAUCAAUGCAAAGAUCAAUCAUUGACAUGAGGAACCAAACAACUAGAGCUGUUUGGUUCCCACGCUAAUUGUUUUAGUUUCUUUCUGAUACAUUUAAUACAAACCAGAGGGACAUACCCUCUUUAGCAAUAAGUAACUAAACUAAGUCCAUUUCUAGUAUUAUGCUGUUUAGUUCCAGAGCAAGAACCUCAUAGGAACAUAUCCCAAUCGAAUAGACACAGAUGUAGCCGAGGCAUUGCUAGUUGCUACCGGGGCCUUCCUUGUCGCUUAUAGGCAGCUGUGGUGCAGAGUUGAGGCAGUCUUGUAGUUCAAAGUAUGCUAUUAUCUCUUCCAGUUCUUGAGAGCUUAACUCAGGAAAUGUAGUUUCUGCAUCAAGCGGAGCACUGUUAUCUUCAGGGGUUGGCAUUACUAUAUUCUUAUAUUGGCUUUGCACUUGAAACAUAGCUUCUUGGACAUUAGACGUCGUCCAGGAACCCAGACAAUCUUCAGAGAUUGGCAUAGUAGUCUUCUUAUAUUUACUUUGCACUUCUUUACAUGUAGUUUCUCCAACAUUAGAAGUCAUUGAGGGACUCCAGUGAUCUUCACAGAUUGACGCACCAAUCUUCUUAUAAUGAUUUUGAUAUUCAAAAACGGAAGGUGUUUCCAUGGUAGGAAUCUGUUCACCUCCUAUGGAGGCUAGUAUGUCCAUGUUCUUAUUAGGAUUUUGCUUUUCAAAAUCCGAAGUAACAAGGUUUAUUUGUUUACCUUUCUCAAAAGCAUUUGAGUUUUGAUUUUCAAAAUCAAAGGUCCUAAAGCAACUUGUUUCACCUUUGUUAUUGGUUGAAAGAGUAGUUAUCUCAUUUGGACUUUGAUUUUCUAAAACAGAAGCCCUGGGGCAACUUGGUUUAACUUUAUUGUACGAUGACAUAGCAGUUAUCUCCUUUGGACUAUGAUUUUCCAAAUCAGAAGCCACUGGGAAACUUGUUUCACCUUCAUUACAAGUUGAAACAGCUGCUCCCUUAUAAAAAACAUUGUCAAAAUUAGAAGCCAUCAGGCUGAUUGUCUCACCUUGGUUACAGGUUGAGAUAGAAGCAAUCUUAUUCAGAUUUUGAUUUUCCAAAUCUAAAAUCGUAUGGCUGCUUGGUUCACCUUCACCAUACGCUGAAUUAGCCUUCAUCUCCUCUAACUUCUCAUUUUCAGAAGUGGAAGCAGAAGCCAAAUUACUAUUUGAUUCACCUUUUCUUGCCUUUUUAUUUGGUCUCAUCUUCUUGCAAUCUUGUUCAGCUUUCUUAGACUUCUUACAUGCUUUUUUCUUCUUAUUUGAUAUCUUUAAUUUACAAAGAACAUAAUCCUCUAUAGGCGACUCGAGUGCAGCAGUGUACUCAUACUCAUGUAUGACCCAUGGGGUCACGUCAGGAUUAUGGAAAACCAAGGUUCUUUUUGUUCCAAUCUCCUCAUCACUGUCUUCAGGCGUGACCACGCGAAGGUCACCUGUGGAUUUCCAGUAUCCACCCUUUCCCUUCCUAUUAGUCAGGCCAUUUUUGUGAUGCAGGCGAAGACAAAAGAAAUACCACACCUUAUCCUUAGAUUUAUUCUUGAAAAGAUCUGGAAGAUCCUUAGGAUCAUGAUCGCAUAAUUUAUCAACCUCGCCAAUGUCCAUGCCAUCUAUAGGAUCACCACGCCUCUUCCGCUUCAAAUAAUAAUCAACCAGUUCUUCAUCGGAGGGGUGGAAUCUCCAUCCAACACGCACGUUUUGUAUGACUAACGGCGGAGGGCCAGUCGUGCCGGAGGAGGAGAAGGAGGAGACGGGAGAGGAGGAGCAGGAGUUGUUAUUCAUCCCUCUUCCUAAAACAACAAGCGUCGGAACUGAAAAGGGAGGAGUCCGAGGAGAUGAGAGGAGAGAAGACUGCAAUCCAGCGGAAGAGGAAGCAGUAGCUCUAGAACUAAGGGUGAACAUUUUCAAUCGAUGGAGACAGAGAUGAAUGCAAAGAAAUUUCUGACAAAAAAAUUCACAAUCCAACCAUGUCCACCAAAGUCAGU
rnacentral:misc_RNA from 1 species